rfam:Lupinus angustifolius cultivar Tanjil chromosome LG03, whole genome shotgun sequence.
AGGUGCGGUCAUACCAGGAUUGAUGCACCAUAUCCCAUCAGAAUUCCACAAUUAAGCAUGUCUAGGCAAGCGCAAUUCUAGGAUGGGUGACCUAAUCAAAAGUCCUCGUAUUGCACCUU